CUUAAUGUUUACAGAUUAUCUGAUGUGCAUAUUAUGAUACUCUGGCGGCGACUGUCGCUGGCCGUUGUCCCUCUUUCUCCCGUUGCAACCGAGUACUCCUGCUAUCGAUAUGUUCGGUCAGAGACAGACGACUAAUAAGUGUGACCGCUUCUGGUGUUCUUGGUCGCUACCGUUCCCCAAUCGGAUCCCACAUUCGGCCCUCCUGACGUAAGAUUCGUCCCGAAUUCGUUCAUAUAGUCCGCCACUGUCGAUGUUUUUAACGGCCCUUCUCCUUCUCCCACCCUUUCUACUUCGUAUCGGCCAUGGUUGUUAACUUUCACUACUUUGUAUGGCCCUACG
rnacentral:lncRNA from 1 species